rnacentral:lncRNA from 1 species
GCAGAGGCGGGGGUCCCCGAUCGCAAUACCCCAGCACUCAGAGGACUCACUUGGAAGCCCGGGGUAAAAAAAAUGAGAAACACAUAUAUUUCUAUUGGCAGAGAAAUGAACCCCCCCCCCCCCCCCCCCCCCCCCCUCUCCCCACUCUGUGACAGCCUCAGACCCCAGACGACCAGGCUCUCGGACACUUACUUGUGACGCGUCAUGGGCUUGUUGGGUAUGAGCUGGGGGUUGACGCCAGCCUUGAACAGGUUGAAUCGGUUUCCAUAGAAGGGGUUGACAUGGCCUCCGUAAUACGUCCCUUUGCCGUCCACCGCGGCCAGCCACGCCGUGAGGAGCACCGCGGGUAAGAGCGCCACCAGACGUCCCAUCUCGGUUCCCUGGUUUGGUUUAGUUUCACUUUGUGGCCGACGAACAGCAGCUUUGGUUUUUUAAAGUCCUCAAGCUAGAAAAUCGACAAGGAGUGUGUGGGUGCCGCGGCUGGCUGGGUGCAGGGACGUGGUGGAGGGGUCCCGCUGUGUGUGCAGAGCGGUCCUGUUGUUCAGCAGGCCCGGGGGGAUGCGUGGAGCCCAAACAGCUGGAGGAUCUGCAGCAUCUCGCCCCGAACGUCUUCAGCUCUCGCUCUCCGGCAGCACACUCAAGUGCACAGUGAGAGAGAGAGAACAGGGAGGGAGAGGGAGGAGAAUAAAUGAUCUGGCAGUCAGUCUAGGCAUCGCAUGGCUGACUAUUGCCUCAUGUGGCUUUACACCAAGAAAAACAUCCAGUCAUUCAAGCAGCAGGUAUUCUCCAGGGCCAACAACUUGUGUAUCUGUGGGUGCGCGUGUGUGCGCGUGUGUGCGUGUGUGUGUGUGUGUGUGUGUGUGUGUGUGUGUGUGUGUGUGUGUGUGUGUGUGUGUGUGUGUGUGUGUGUGUGUGUGUGUGUGUGUGUGUGUGUGACUGUACAUGCUAUAUGUGAAUCGUCACUCUCAAUGAUGGUAUUCCGAUGGAUUUGGGGGAUGACCGUGAUAACAGCGUUUAGGAGCAGUGCGCAGAGGUGAUUAGUUGUGGCUCCCAAGGACCUGCCAGAUUAACAUUAAGCAGUCAAUAUAUUUCACGAAUUAUCCGAAACUCAUAUACUCUCAUAAAAAAUC